rnacentral:rRNA from 1 species
UACGGAGGGUGCAAGCGUUAUCCGGAUUCACUGGGUUUAAAGGGUGCGUAGGUGGGUAGGUAAGUCAGUGGUGAAAUCUCCAAGCUUAACUUGGAAACUGCCAUUGAUACUAUUUAUCUUGAAUUUUCUGGAGGUGAGCGGAAUAUGUCAUGUAGCGGUGAAAUGCUUAGAUAUGACAUAGAACACCAAUUGCGAAGGCAGCUCACUACGGGAAUAUUGACACUGAGGCACGAAAGCGUGGGGAUCAAAC